rnacentral:rRNA from 1 species
ACUCAAAUGAAUUGACGGGGGCCCGCACAAGCAGCGGAGCGUGUGGUUUAAUUCGACGCGACGCGCAGAACCUUACCAGGGCUUGACAUGUGUCUUACAAUCGGGGAAACCCGGUGCCCCGCAAGGGGGUGGCGCACAGGUGCUGCAUGGCUGUCGUCAGCUCGUGCCGUGAGGUGUUGGGUUAAGUCCCGCAACGAGCGCAACCCCCGCCGCUAGUUGGAUUCUCUAGCGGGACUGCCGGGACCAACCCGGAGGAAGGUGGGGAUGACGUCAAGUCAGCACGGCCCUUACGCCCUGGGCUACACACACGCUACAAUGGGGGGGACAACGGGCUGCGAAGCCGCGAGGCGGAGCCAAUCCUGCAAACCCUCCCUCAGUUCAGAUCGGGGGCUGCAACUCGCCCCCGUGAAGGCGGAGUUGCUAGUAACCGUGGGUCAGCACACCGCGGUGAAUACGUUCCCGGGCCUUGUACACACCGCCCGU